AGAGUUUGAUCAUGGCUCAGGAUGAACGCUGGCGGUAUGCUUAACACAUGCAAGUCGAACGAAUCCCUUCGGGGAUGAGUGGCGGACGGGUGAGUAACGCGUGAGAAUUUACCAAAAGGACCGGGACAACCACUGGAAACGGUGGCUAAUACCGGAUGAGCCGAAAAGUAAAAAGGGAAACCUGCCUUUUGAAGAGCUCGCGUCUGAUUAGCUAGUUGGUGAGGUAAGAGCUCACCAAGGCAGCGAUCAGUAGCUGGUCUGAGAGGAUGACCAGCCACACUGGGACUGAGACACGGCCCAGACUCCUACGGGAGGCAGCAGUGGGGAAUUUUCCGCAAUGGGCGAAAGCCUGACGGAGCAAUACCGCGUGAGGGAAGAAGGCUCUUGGGUCGUAAACCUCUUUUAUCAGGGAAGAAAAAAAUGACGGUACCUGAAGAAUCAGCCUCGGCUAACUCCGUGCCAGCAGCCGCGGUAAUACGGAGGAUGCAAGCGUUAUCCGGAAUUAUUGGGCGUAAAGCGUCCGUAGAUGGUUUUGCCAGUCGGCUGUCAAAGCACAGGGCUUAACCCUGUAAAGGCAGUGGAAACUACAAGACUAGAGUGCAGUAGGGGCAGAGGGAAUUCCCAGUGUAGCGGUGAAAUGCGUAGAGAUUGGGAAGAACACCCGUGGCGAAAGCGCUCUGCUGGACUGCUACUGACAUUGAGGGACGAAAGCUAGGGGAGCGAAUGGGAUUAGAUACCCCAGUAGUCC
rnacentral:rRNA from 1 species